rnacentral:rRNA from 1 species
GUUAGGAAUUUUGGGCAAUGGGCGAAAGCCUGACCCAGCAACGCCGCGUGGGUGAUGAAGGCCCUCGGGUCGUAAAGCCCUUUUCCCAGGGAAGAUGAUGACGGUACCUGGGGAAUCAGCCCCGGCUAACUACGUGCCAGCAGCCGCGGUAAUACGUAGGGGGCAAGCGUUGUCCGGAUUUAUUGGGCGUAAAGCGCUCGCAGGUGGUUUGUCGCGUCGUGCGUGAAAGACCCCGGCUCAACUGGGGAGGGUCGUGCGAUACGGGCGAACUGGAGGCCAGUAGGGGGAUGCGGAAUUCCGGGUGUAGUGGUGGAAUGCGUAGAGAUCCGGAGGAACACCAGCGGCGAAGGCGGCAUCCUGGACUGGUCCUGACACUCAGGAGCGAAAGCGUGGGGAGCGAUCCGGAUUAGAAACCCCUGUAGUCC